rnacentral:rRNA from 1 species
GACGUAGGGCGCGAGCGUUGUCCGGAUUUAUUGGGCGUAAAGAGCUCGUAGGCGGUUUGUCGCGUCUGCCGUGAAAGUCCGGGGCUCAACUCCGGAUCUGCGGUGGGUACGGGCAGACUAGAGUGAUGUAGGGGAGACUGGAAUUCCUGGUGUAGCGGUGAAAUGCGCAGAUAUCAGGAGGAACACCGAUGGCGAAGGCAGGUCUCUGGGCAUUAACUGACGCUGAGGAACGAAAGCAUGGGGAGCGAACAGG